rnacentral:misc_RNA from 1 species
GAAAUGCGGUAAGUAAUGUGAAUUGCAGAACUUCGUGAAUCAUCAAAUCUUUGAACGCACAUUGCGCUCUAUGGAAACAUAGAGCAUGCCUGUUUGAGUAUCAUUUUAACCCACUCACAGAUCUUUCUGUGGACCUGAUAGUCUUGGAGUCUCUCCUCUACUUUUGACUCCCAGUCUUUCGAAAAAUGAAUUCCAAAAUGUUUCAGACUCUAUAAGGGGACUUUUUGUCCUCUAGAGCUGGACCCAAUCGGGCUGAUUGUUCAGUCGCGAUUGGUGGGAUUUUUGGGGAGGUUUUGCAACAAAAAAACCAAAGCGAAACUUUGAAUGCCGUGGCAUUAUCAGUUCUAGCUCUUGGAUCUUUGUUGGGGGGGGCCUCUUCAAAUAAAAUUUUUAUAACUUUGGUCUCAAAUCAGGCAAGACUACCCGCUGAACUUAAGC